rnacentral:rRNA from 1 species
UACGGGAGGUGCGAGCGUUGUUCGGAUUGAUUGGGCGUAAAGAGCACGUAGGCGGGCUUGUAAGUCGAUUGUGAAAUCCCCAGGCUUAACCUGGGAACUGCAGUCGAAACUGCUAGUCUUGAAUGUUCGAGAGGUUGGUGGAAUUCCAGGUGUAGAAGUGAAAUUCGUAGAUAUCUGGAGGAACACCGGCGGCGAAGGCGGCCAACUGGCGAAACAUUGACGCUGAGGCACGAAAGCGUGGGGAGCAAACAGG